rnacentral:rRNA from 1 species
UACGUAGGGGGCAAGCGUUGUCCGGAAUCAUUGGGCGUAAAGAGCGUGUAGGCGGCUCGGUAAGUCCGCUGUGAAAGUCCAGGGCUCAACCCUGGAAUGCCGGUGGAAACUGUCGAGCUAGAGUCCGGAAGAGGCGAGUGGAAUUCCUGGUGUAGCGGUGAAAUGCGCAGAUAUCAGGAGGAACACCGAUGGCGAAGGCAGCUCGCUGGGACGGUACUGACGCUGAGACGCGAAAGCGUGGGGAGCGAACGGG